UGGAGAGUUUGAUCCUGGCUCAGGACGAACGCUGGCGGCGUGCUUAACACAUGCAAGUCGAACGGAAAGGCCCGCUUCGGUGGGUGCUCGAGUGGCGAACGGGUGAGUAACACGUGGGUGAUCUGCCCUGCACUUCGGGAUAAGCUUGGGAAACUGGGUCUAAUACCGGAUAGGACCAUGGGAUGCAUGUCUUGUGGUGGAAAGCUUUUUGCGGUGUGGGAUGGGCCCGCGGCCUAUCAGCUUGUUGGUGGGGUGAUGGCCUACCAAGGCGACGACGGGUAGCCGGCCUGAGAGGGUGUCCGGCCACACUGGGACUGAGAUACGGCCCAGACUCCUACGGGAGGCAGCAGUGGGGAAUAUUGCACAAUGGGCGCAAGCCUGAUGCAGCGACGCCGCGUGGGGGAUGACGGCCUUCGGGUUGUAAACCUCUUUCACCAUCGACGAAGCUGCCGGUUUUCCGGUGGUGACGGUAGGUGGAGAAGAAGCACCGGCCAACUACGUGCCAGCAGCCGCGGUA
rnacentral:rRNA from 1 species